GUAAGCGAACCCGUGAAGGUUCCAGGAGGAUGGCGCACCCGGAAAGGGCGUGGAAGCUCCGCGCCCCUUCCCACAGACUUUCCCCCAUCCAUCUCUUCAUCUGGUGUUCAUCGAUAGCCUUUGUAAUGUCCUUAAUAGUAAACCGGAAAACAGUGGAGGAAGAAGAGAAUCACCACAUAUCGUAUUUAGAGGUCCUGCAGAAAGGGCAGAGCGAGUUUCAUGUUUGAGUGCAGCGGAUGCAUGGGCAAAGCAUUACACAGCCGCUCCAUGGAAGUGACAAUGAGCCUUGUCUUUCACACGUAACUCCAGGAACCAGGGGAAACAAAACCAAUUCCACCCAGAGGUAAAUAAAAAUCAAAGAGCGUUCGAGGCAGCCGCAUUGACUCACCUUGCAGACAAGCAAGCAGAGCCGCAGAGCAGUGACCCGUGCCCAGCGCCUCGCAGCUAGAGCUGGAUUGGAAUCCAGGGCUUUGCAGGCUUCCUGCUUCACUCAAUCCUCUUUCUGUUGCCUCUGGCCUCAAGGUGUUGGCCUGGGAGGAAGUAGCAGAUUAAAUUCCAUGGGCACGAAGUCCGUAGCUGACGAAUACUUAAUAUGUUGCAGUUUCACAGUGAAAGUUGGCAAGUCCAGGGUGGGAACAUGCCCCAAGCAGCUGAGUCUUCUGGAUUUUACUUCUGUUCUUUGCCUCUCAAUUUUUGAUUUUGUUAUAUAAAAAGCAAAUCAGUAA
rnacentral:lncRNA from 10 species